CAGUCGCCGCGGUAAUACGAAGGGGGCUAGCGUUGCUCGGAACGACUGGGCGUAAAGGGCGCGUAGGCGGCGAUCAAAGUCAGGCGUGAAAUUCCUGGGCUCAACCUGGGGGCUGCGCUUGAUACUUGGUUGCUUGAGUGGGGAAGAGGGUCGUGGAAUUCCCAGUGUAGAGGUGAAAUUCGUAGAUAUUGGGAAGAACACCGGUGGCGAAGGCGGCGACCUGGUCCUUGACUGACGCUGAGGCGCGAAAGCGUGGGGAGCAAACAGGAUUAGAUACCCCAGUAGUCCCUGUCUCUUAUAC
rnacentral:rRNA from 1 species